AUAAAGAAGAAAACCGAACUUUUUUUGUUCUUACACAGUGGUUUUUCACUUUUUGGUAAUUACCUUCUAGUUUCUUUCUUCCCAAAAACCUAAAACCCAGUUGCAGACCCGAGAGAGAGAGAGAGAGAGAGAGAGAGAGAGAGAGAGAAUUUUCUUCCACGGUGUUUCUUCUCCCCAAACCCCAGCCACAGACCAGACUUUGUGUUGACUUGCGGAUUUGGGUCUUGAUAUUCGAAACAGAAAAAAGAGGAAGUGAGAACUUGGAAAGCUAAGGAAAAGAAGAAGAGAGCAGUGUAGUCAAAGGCGUUUCAGGCGAGCGCCUAGGCGCUCAGGCGAGGCGAGGCGGCGUAAAAGCGCCUCAAGGUCACUGAGGCGAGGCGCCUUUAGUGAGGCGAGCGCCUUUGUCGACUAGUCGCUCGCCUUGAUCAGUUUUUCCAGGCGUUAGGCGAGAGCCUCCGUCCCCUUUGUUUUCUUUCCAUCGCUUGACUCGCUUUUGUUUUCUUUCUGGUGCGGAGGACUUGGUUUCAUUAAAAAGAUGACUGGCUUUUUUUAAUUUAUAACUCAAUUUUGUCUUUUAGUAACAUUAGUGGGGUUUGAGUUGGCAACCA